rnacentral:rRNA from 1 species
UACGUAGGGUGCGAGCGUUAAUCGGAAUUACUGGGCGUAAAGUGUGCGCAGGCGGCCGCGCAAGUCGAGUGUGAAAUCCCCGAGCUUAACUUGGGAAUUGCGCUCGAAACUACGUGGCUGGAGUGUGGCAGAGGAAGGUGGAAUUCCACGUGUAGCGGUGAAAUGCGUAGAUAUGUGGAGGAACACCAGUGGCGAAGGCGACUUUCUGGUCUGUAACUGACACUGAGGCGCGAAAGCGUGGGGAGCGAACAGG